CACCAGACUCCUACGGGAGGCAGCAGUGGGGAAUAUUGCACAAUGGGGGAAACCCUGAUGCAGCGACGCCGCGUGAGUGAAGAAGUAUUUCGGUAUGUAAAGCUCUAUCAGCAGGGAAGAAAAUGACGGUACCUGACUAAGAAGCCCCGGCUAACUACGUGCCAGCAGCCGCGGUAAUACGUAGGGGGCAAGCGUUAUCCGGAUUUACUGGGUGUAAAGGGAGCGUAGACGGCAUGGCAAGUCAGAUGUGAAAGCCCGGGGCUCAACCCCGGGACUGCAUUUGAAACUGUUUCCCUUGAGUGUCGGAGAGGUAAUCGGAAUUCCUUGUGUAGCGGUGAAAUGCGUAGAUAUAAGGAAGAACACCAGUGGCGAAGGCGGAUUACUGGACGAUAACUGACGAUGAGGCGCGAAAGCGUGGGGAGCAAACAGGAUUAGAUACCCGCGUA
rnacentral:rRNA from 1 species